rnacentral:rRNA from 1 species
GAUGAACGCUAGCGGCAGGCUUAAUACAUGCAAGUCGAGGGGCAGCAUGAGUGUAGCAAUACAUUUGAUGGCGACCGGCAAACGGGUGCGGAACACGUACACAACCUUCCUAUAAGUGGGGAAUAGCCCAGAGAAAUUUGGAUUAAUACCCCGUAACAUAAUGAUGUGGCAUCACCUUAUUAUUAUAGCUUCGGCGCUUAUUGAUGGGUGUGCGGCUGAUUAGAUAGUUGGCGGAGUAACGGACCACCAAGUCUACGAUCAGUAGCUGAUGUGAGAGCAUGAUCAGCCACACGGGCACUGGGACACGGGCCCGACUCCUACGGGAGGCAGCAGUAAGGAAUAUUGGUCAAUGGACGAAAGUCUGAACCAGCCAUGCCGCGUGAAGGAUUAAGGUCCUCUGGAUUGUAAACUUCUUUUAUCUGGGACGAAAAAAGGCGAUUCUUCGUCACUUGACGGUACCAGAUGAAUAAGCACCGGCUAACUACGUGCCAGCCGCCGCCGUAAGAC